rnacentral:misc_RNA from 1 species
GGUCCAUCAGAUAAGGAUCACUUGCAUUGUGACUACUGUGGGAAAUCUCGGCACACCAAAGAACAAUGUUGGAAGCUGCACGGCCGUCCAACUAAAGGGCGUGGAGGAAAAAGGAUGGGCUCUGCUAGAUCACAAGCAAAUGUAUCUGAGGCUGUGAGUGUUUCUGAAGAUACUGCUAUCACUGGGAUGUUUUCCAAUGAAGAGGUACAGACUCUGAGACGAUUCCUAUCACAGCUUGAAUCACAAUCCACUACAGUUGCCUCUUCUAACUUCGUCAACUCAGGUAAUGCUUUUCUUGCCAAUCUUAAUAAUUCUUUUUGGGUUAUAAAUUCUAAAGCAAACAAGCAUAUGACAGGCUUUUCAAAUAAAUUCAUAUCCUAUUCUCCAUGUUCAGGAAAAGAAAAAGUCCGCACUGCGGAUGGAUCCUUAUCCAGUGUUUCUGGAACAGGUUCUGUUAAAUGCACUCCUACUAUAAGUCUUAGUUCUGUCUUACAUGUGCCUAGCUUUCCUAUUAACCUUUUGUCUGUCAGUUCUAUCACAAAAGCUCUCAACUGCAAAAUUGAAUUUUUUCUCACUCACUGUGUGUUUCAGGAGUUGAUAACAGGGAGAACGAUUGGCAGUGGUAGACUGCAAGAUGGGCUAUAUCUCUUGAAUGAUUAUGUUGGCCAGGCCAUGUUGGGGCAAUCUAUGGGUGCUGAGGAACAAAUUAUCAUGUGGCAUAGGAGACUAGGACAUCCUUCAUUUACUGUGUUAGAAAAACUUUAUCCUUUUCUGUUUAAACAAUGCAAAACUGAAUUGUUAGUAUGUGAUGCUUGUGAGUUUGCUAAACAUACUAGACAAUCUUAUCCUGCAAUAAAUAAUAAGGCUUCAGUUCCUUUUAUGACUAUCCAUUCUGAUGUAUGGGGGCCUACUCAAACUGUGUCUUUAUCGGGUUACAAAUGGUUUGUAACCUUUAUUGAUUGUUGCAGUAGGUUAACUUGGGUAUAUCUGAUGAAAGGGAAAAAUGAAGUAUUUUCAUGUUUUCAGCAGUUUCACAAAAUGAUUAGCACCCAGUUUGAUGCUCAUGUUAAAAUAUUGAGAACUGAUAAUGGUACAAUAUAUAUAAAUAGAGUCUUUCAAGAGUAUUUGAAGGCACAUGG